rnacentral:rRNA from 1 species
UACGUAGGGUGCAAGCGUUGUCCGGAAUUAUUGGGCGUAAAGAGCUCGUAGGCGGUCUGUCGCGUCGGCUGUGAAAACCCGGAGCUCAACUCCGGGCCUGCAGUCGAUACGGGCAGACUGGAGUUCGGCAGGGGAGAGUGGAAUUCCUGGUGUAGCGGUGAAAUGCGCAGAUAUCAGGAAGAACACCCGUGGCUAAGGCGGCUCUCUAGUACGGUACUGACGCUGAGACGCGAAAGCGUGGGGAGCGAACAGG